UACGAAGGGGGCUAGCGUUGCUCGGAAUUACUGGGCGUAAAGGGCGCGUAGGCGGAUACUUAAGUCGGGGGUGAAAGCCCGGGGCUCAACCUCGGAAUUGCCUUCGAUACUGGGUAUCUUGAGUUCGGGAGAGGUGAGUGGAAUGCCGAGUGUAGAGGUGAAAUUCGUAGAUAUUCGGCGGAACACCAGUGGCGAAGGCGACUCACUGGCCCGAUACUGACGCUGAGGCACGAAAGCGUGGGGAGCAAACAGG
rnacentral:rRNA from 1 species